rnacentral:rRNA from 1 species
GGCCGCGGUACUCUGACCGUGCGAAGGUAGCAUAAUCACUUGUUCUUUAAUUAAGGACUAGCAUGAACGGCAUCACGAGGGCCUUACUGUCUCCUUUCUCCAAUCAGUGAAACUGAUCUCCCCGUGAAGAAGCGGGGAUUAUACUAUAAGACGAGAAGACCCCAUGGAGCUUUAAACCCAACAGACAACCCUUAGCCCCUCACCCCCCAAAACUUUUAGGCCCUGUUUGCUGGUUUUAGGUUGGGGUGACCGCGGAGUAAAACUUAUCCUCCACAAUGUAUGGGACUCCUCCCCUUAUCCACGAGCCACUGCUCUAAGAAUCAACAAAUUGACAACAAAUGAUCCAAUUUUCUGAUCAAUGAACCAAGUUACCCUGGGGAUAACAGCGCAAUCCAUUUUAAGAGCCCUUAUCGACAAAUGGGUUUA